GAUGAACGCUGGCGGCAUGCCUAAUACAUGCAAGUCGAGCGAGAGGAAGGAAAGCUUGCUUUUCUGAAUCUAGUGGCGAACGGGUGAGUAACACGUAGGUAACCUGCCCAUGUGCCCGGGAUAACUUCUGGAAACGGAUGCUAAAACCGGAUAGGUAGCAGACAAGCAUUUGACUGCUAUUAAAGUGGCUAAGGCCAUGACCAUGGAUGGACAUGCGGUGCAUUAGCUAGUUGGUGAGGUAACGACUCACCAAGGAGACGAUGCAUAGCCGGCCUGUGAGGAUCGACGGCCACAUUGGACCUGAGACACGGCCCAAACUCCUACGGGAGGCAGCAGUAGGGAAUUUUCGUCAAUGGGGGGAACCCUGAACGAGCAAUGCCGCGUGAGUGAGGAAGGUCUUCGGAUCGUAAAGCUCUGUUGUAAGAGAAAAACGACAUUCAUGGGGAAUGAUGAGUGAGUGAUGGUAUCUUACCAGAAAGUCACGGCUAACUACGUGCCAGCAGCCGCCGUAA
rnacentral:rRNA from 1 species